rnacentral:rRNA from 1 species
AUUGAACGCUGGCGGCACGCCUUACACAUGCAAGUCGAACGGUAACAGGUCUUCGGAUGCUGACGAGUGGCGAACGGGUGAGUAAUACAUCGGAACGUGCCUAGUAGUGGGGGAUAACUACUCGAAAGAGUGGCUAAUACCGCAUGAGAUCUACGGAUGAAAGCAGGGGAUCGCAAGACCUUGUGCUACUAGAGCGGCCGAUGGCAGAUUAGGUAGUUGGUGGGAUAAAAGCUUACCAGGCCGACGAACUGUAGCUGGUCUGAGAGGACGAUCAGCCGCGCUGGGACUGAGACACGGCCCAGACUCCUACGGGAGUCAGCAGUGGGGAAUUUUGGACAAUGGGCGCAAGCCUGAUCCAGCAAUGCCGCGUGCAGGAUGAAGGCCUUCGGGUUGUAAACUGCUUUUGUACGGAACGAAAAGCCCCGGGUUAAUACCCUGGGGUCAUGACGGUACCGUAAGAAUAAGCACCGGCUAACUACGUGCCAGCCGCCGCCGUAA